rnacentral:rRNA from 1 species
AGUGAACGCUGGCGGCAGGCCUAACACAUGCAAGUCGAACGGCAGCACAGUAAGAGCUUGUUCUUACGGGUGGCGAGUGGCGGACGGGUGAGGAAUACAUCGGAAUUUACUUUUUCGAGGGGGCUAACGUAGGGACACUUACGCCAAUACCGCAUACGACCUACGGGUGAAAGCAGGGGAUCUUCGGACCUCGCGCGAUCGAAUGAGCCGAGGUCGGAUUAGCUAGUUGGUGGGGUAAAGGCCCACCAAGGCGACGAUCCGUAGCUGGUCUGAGAGGAUGAUCAGCCACACUGGAGCUGAGACACGGUCCAGACUCCUACGGGAGGCAGCAGUGGGGAAUAUUGGACAAUGGGCGCAAGCCUGAUCCAGCCAUACCGCGUGGGUGAAGAAGGCCUUCGGGUUGUAAAGCCCUUUUGUUUGGAAAGAAGAGCAGCAAGUUAAUACCCCGCUGUUCUGACGGUACCCAAAGAAUAAGCACCGGCUAACUUCGUG